GGAAUCUUCCACAAUGGACGAAAGUCUGAUGGAGCAACGCCGCGUGAGUGAAGAAGGGUUUCGGCACGUAAAACUCUGUUGUUAAAGAAGAACAUAUCUGAGAGUAACUGUUCAGGUAUUGACGGUAUUUAACCAGAAAGCCACGGCUAACUACGUGCCAG
rnacentral:rRNA from 1 species